AUAGUAGCCGGUAGUGAUACAUGUGACUCGGUAGAGCAUGUCGUGUAGGACGACGACGGCGGGUAGUGCUUGGGGACGACCCGUGCCUGGACCGUUUGUGGACUGUGGAGCCUGGGCCCNAUGUCGUGUAGGACGACGACGGCGGGUAGUGCUUGGGGACGACCCGUGCCUGGACCAUUUGUGGACUGUGGAGCCUGGGCCCAUUGGGCAGGCGCAGUCAGCUGUGAGUGACAGCGGCCCGGUACCUACGGGUAGGGCGGAGUUCUGGUCAGGACGGUAGUCCGAGUUUAGGCCCGGGAGCGUGGAAUGCCACGCGAUAGAUUGUGUGACUGAUGGUACACCGAGUAUGGUUGUGACCCAACCCUAGGACUUGACGUGGUUUGG
rnacentral:lncRNA from 1 species